AUGGCGUAAAACUACAAGAGGAGAGACUGAGGUGAGGGAAUUUUUCACUCAGAGCGGUGAGGAGCUGGCAGUGCUGCCCAGAGCUGCGGGUGCCCCAUUCCUGGAGGUGCUCUGGGCAGCCUGAGCACACUGGGCAGGAGUGGGGCUCAAUGAUCUUUUAGGCCCCUUCCAACCCCACCACUCUGCGGUUCUAUGGUUCCCUCUGCUUCGCUAACAGUUUUAUUUGUGGUACGCUUCAGCGUUAAUAAUGACGCGCCCGCUCAGGACGAGCCGCUGGGCGGUGCUACGUGCGGCCCGCCGGACCCUGCGUUCGCUGCCGGGUUGUGGGAGUGCCAUGGCGGCUGUGCAGGACGUGGAGAUCGAUCCUGACGGCACGUUCAAGUACAUCCUGGUGCGGCUGCAACGGCCUGGCGGCGGGGAGCAGCGCGACAUCGUGCGCGGCACCAAGGCGGCCGAGUUCCACAAUCACAUCUUUGAGAAAGUAAAUCCUGAGAUGGAGAAGCUGGGAUACGAGUGCAAGUGCCUUGGAGGAGGGAAAAUUGAUCAUAAUAGCAAAGAGAAGAAAAUUAGGGUGUUUGGGCUGUCUACAGUACCUUGAAACAUACAGAUGAGCACAAGGUGAAAGCAGAGGUUCUACUACUAGGAGGGCAUCUGUUGAGUAGAGACCUGGAGAUUUGAAAGACUUCAGCUGUAGGGCUAUGGAAAAGCAGAUCAUUCGGUGACUGUAGAGAUACUGAAAAAAGUGUACACAGAUUAUGAAAUCACAUGGUCAGAUG